rfam:Neotoma lepida isolate 417 scaffold_16, whole genome shotgun sequence.
UGGCUCAGUAGUUAAGAGCACUGGCUGCUCUUCCAGAGGACCUGGGUUCGAUUCCCAG